rnacentral:lncRNA from 1 species
CCACGGGAGAAACCCUCUGGGGCACGGGCGCACGUUCCCUCCUUCCACAGUGCAGAGCGGUGGCCUCCAAGCGGCCAGAUAAUGUCCCACUCGACCUCCCUUCCAUCAAGCGAGUGUGUUCCUCCCCAGCAGCCAAGACAGAGGACAAACCUGUGGACUCUGAUGGAGGGCAGGCUGCCCUACACCUGGAACCCCUGCACUUCCUGCAGUGCCAUAGCAGAAACAGCAGCCCUAAGGACCUGGAGACCCAGCUGUGGGCCUGUGCCUUUGAGCCUGCCAGGGAGGAGGGACUUCUUCUCGGUGGCCUGGACAGCCCUGACGGUGGUCACCCAGGCAGGACACAAGAAGCGCUGGAACAUGCUGGCAGCUGCAGGCCUCCGGGGCAUGAUCCGGCUGCUCCAUGUGCGUGCAGGCUUUUGCUGCAGCGUCAUCCGAGCCCAUAAGAAGGCCAUUGCCACCCUCUGCUUCAGCCCCACCCACGAGACCCACCUCUUCAGUAAGACCCUCACCUCUGAACUUUAUCAGCACUGUAGUCUUUCUGCCCUGCUGUCCUGGGUCUCUUUUCUGGGGUGACAAGGCUCACAGGAUGCUGGGCCCAGAUGGCUUUAGUCAGAAGUGAUUUAGCUUCUUGACCAACCAGGAUCUCCAUUCCAGCAUGCUAUGCAGCCUUGCCUUUUCCUAGAAACUUGGGCUGCUUGCUUCUACUCUGCCUGGGACCAAGGGAGAUAACCCUGCCCCUUGGGUAUGGUGAGCCCAACGAAGGAGCCAGAUGUGCUACAAAGACGGCUAUGAUGCUGUGCACACUGGGCUCAGACAGAACUGGGGAUGG